UUAGCUCCCUGGGAGAGCGCCUGCUUUGCAAGCAGGAGGUCAUCGGUUCGAUCCCGUGGCGAC
rnacentral:tRNA from 1 species